GAUGAACGCUGGCGGCGUGCUUAACACAUGCAAGUCGAACGGUGAACACGGAGCUUGCUCUGUGGGAUCAGUGGCGAACGGGUGAGUAACACGUGAGCAACCUGCCCCUGACUCUGGGAUAAGCGCUGGAAACGGCGUCUAAUACUGGAUAUGUGACGUGACCGCAUGGUCUGCGUUUGGAAAGAUUUUUCGGUUGGGGAUGGGCUCGCGGCCUAUCAGCUUGUUGGUGAGGUAAUGGCUCACCAAGGCGUCGACGGGUAGCCAGCCUGAGAGGGUGACCGGCCACACUGGGAUUGAGACACGGCCCAGACUCCUACGGGAGGCAGCAGUGGGGAAUAUUGCACAAUGGGCGAAAGCCUGAUGCAGCAACGCCGCGUGAGGGAUGACGGCCUUCGGGUUGUAAACCUUUUUUAGCAGGGAAGAAGCGAAAGUGACGGUACCUGCAGAAAAAGCGCCGGCUAACUACGUG
rnacentral:rRNA from 1 species